rnacentral:rRNA from 1 species
GCAGCAGGCGCGCAAAUUUACCCACUUCUUUAGCACGAGGAGGUAGUGACGAAAAAUAACAAUACGGGACUUCUUUUCGAGGCCUCGUAAUUGGAAUGAGUACACUCUAAACCCGUUAACGAGGAUCUAUUGGAGGGCAAGUCUGGUGCCAGCAGCCGCGGUAAUUCCAGCUCCAAUAGCGUAUAUUAAAGUUGUUGCGUUUAAAAAGCUCGUAGUCGGCUAUCGGGCGGCGGCCAAUGGUUCGGUUCCGUGCCGAUACUGCUGGUCGCGGCCUCCUCGCCGGUCGUCUUUCGGUGCCCUUAACUGAGUGCCUUAAGUAGCCGGGGCGUUUACUUUGAAAAAAUUAGAGUGUUCAAGGCAGGCGUUGAGCCUGAAUCAUUGUGCAUGGAAUAAUGGAAUAGGACCUCGGUUCUAUUUUGUUGGUCUCCGGAACUAGAGGUAAUGAUUAAUAGGAACAGGCGGGGGCAUUCGUAUUGCGGCGUUAGAGGUGAAAUUCUUGGAUCGUCGCAAGACGGACUAUUGCGAAAGCAUUUGCCAAGUAUGUUUUCAUUGAUCAAGAGCGAAAGUCAGAGGAUCGAAGACGAUCAGAUACCGUCCUAGUUCUGACCAUAAACGAUGCCGACUAGCGAUCCGGCGACGUUGCUUUCUAAGACUCUCCGGGCAGCUCUCGGGAAACCAAAGUCUAUGGGUUCCGGGGGAAGUAUGGUUGCAAAGCUGAAACUUAAAGGAAUUGACGGAAGGGCACCACCAGGAGUGGAGCCUGCGGCUUAAUUUGACUCAACACGGGAAAACUCACCCGGCCCGGACACCGUAAGGAUUGACAGAUUGAAAGCUCUUUCUUGAUUCGGUGGGUGGUGGUGCAUGGCCGUUCUUAGUUGGUGGAGCGAUUUGUCUGGUUAAUUCCGAUAACGAACGAGACUCUAGCCGGCUAACUAGUCCGUCGAUGCCAUUCGUCGUCGGCGCAUAGGACUUCUUAGAGGGACCAGUGGCGUUUAGCCACGCGAGAUUGAGCAAUAACAGGUCUGUGAUGCCCUUAGAUGUUCGGGGCCGCACGCGCGCUACACUGAAGGAAUCAACGUGUCCACUGUCCGGCCUCGAAAGGGGUGGGUAAUCCGUUGAACCUCCUUCGUGAUAGGGAUUGGGGCUUGCAUUUCUUCCCCAUGAACGAGGAAUUCCCAGUAAGCGCGAGUCAUAAGCUCGCGUUGAUUACGUCCCUGCCCUUUGUACACACCGCCCGUCGCUACUACCGAUUGAAUGGUUUAGUGAGGUCCUCGGACUGGUGGCGUUCGCGUUCUUCGCGUUCGUGAACGUCGUGCCGGGAAGACGAUCGAACUUGAUCAUUAGAGGAAGU